AUCAAAUACAAACGAACGUGAUACAAUGUUCAUUUUGCAAAAAAAAAAACUAAACAAGGCCUAAGUUGUUGUUGCAUGUAGGAUGUGAAGUCAAUGCUUGCCUUUUUAAGUCUUGUGACUUGUAUGGAGAGGUUACCUAAGAUGUCGUAAUAAGUUUUGAACUAGAUAUACAAUGCAUUGCCUUGAAAAGUCUCAUUUAUUAGAUGGAGGGGUGUAGUUGGCCAUGGUGGUGGCAAGGGGAGGGAGGUCGCCGCGGCCAUGAUAGGGUCUCUCACUGGAGCUUAAACGUCAUAGCAGCAAUCCUAGCUACAGGCCCGUAUCUAGAAUUUUGUGGCCCUGGAGCAAAAUAUAAAAUAUGGCCUCUAUAUCUAGACAAAAUAAAAUAGCUGAACUAGAUUUCAGUGUCCAAUGGUUAAAAUUUUCAAUAAUAAGAACUAUAAUAAGUAGUCCAGGUUUUUAUGUUUGUCAGCUAAGUUAAUCGUGUUGUGUAUGUGUCGGCACUUUUUUUAUUGUCAUGAUCCAGCGAUCCGCAGCUUCGCCACAAUAUUUGUAUCACCUCGAUCAAUAUUGUUUGCUAAUAGUAAUACAAACAAUAAAAUCUCUCCAUAAGUAUUGGGUAAAUACUUACAUAGAUUUUUGUGAGCCGUGUCAAGAAACUAAAUAAGCAACUAACACUUAGGCUAACUGAGCUUAAAGUAAUUAAACUUAAUGACUAAACACUGAUUAGGGGCCCUUAAUUUUUUGGGGCCUAGUGUGAUCGCGCCACUUGCGCUGCCCAACAUACGGGCCUGCCUAGCUAGAGCUAUGGUGGGACCCUACCACGUCGUGGCGGGACAGUGGGUGGCGGCGGCGCAUGGCAUGAGAAUCCAAAAAAAAUCUGGUGCUCUCAAAUGUCUAUGGAAGUGUUUAUGUCUAUAUAUGUCCAGAUUUACUUAGGUCUUUCAAGUAAAGGCAUCUAACUCGCUCGCUCCUCAAAGGCAAACCAUUCUCGAAGUGUUUUUGCACUUAUAAAGCUUUCACCUCUAAAUGAGCAGCUGCACAAUUCAGAAUUCAGGAAUGCCAAAUUUAUAAAUCUUCAACAUUUAGUUAUGUCAUUAGAAGAACACAAUGGCAAGUUGACGGUUAAUCAUAAAUGUUAUGAGAAUUUUAUUAUUCACGUAGUCUCAGGGAGAUGUACAUCUGAACAUGUUUGAAGCACAAGAAGUAUUUGAAGAAUACAUUGAAGUUUUUGGCAAGACGAUAUCAAGCUAUUGUAUGUCAUCUGAACCAUCAGUUCGUUAUGGAGAUGAGGCUGUCUUCUGUUUUUUUGUUUCUUGCAGUUGUUUGUCCUCUCUGCAGCUGUCGAUUUUGUAAUAUGAUUCUGUUUUUUUUUUUGUAGAACCCUCUUUUCUGGUUAUGAUGGUGAUGAUGAGGCUGAUCUAGCCUUCCAUGUUUCUGAGUCUUCUAGUGUUGCUGAUGCUGAUAGUAAUAUUCCCAAUGGUGAAGUAGAUCUGCAUCGCGUCCAUGGUUCCUGAGCCAUUUGCACCAAUUGAAGGUGAAGGCAUGGGUGAUUCGGGUGGCAACCCUCCUACCCAGGCAAUAGAAGUAGUAGCUGGUAUCCUGGUUCCUUUAGUGCCUCUAGUUGAAGGAGGUUCAAGCUCUUCCACCGGCAGCCCGGUUAGGACAGUUGUGGAGGAUGAAGGUUUUUUUUUUUUUUUUUUUUUUUUUUUUUUUUUUUUUUUGCGAGGAUUGUGGAGGAUGAAGUUGUUCCUACAAAUCUCCAUAAUCGACGUUUUGUGGUUGAGUCCGACACUGCAAAGCGGGUUCCUGUGGAACUUUGAUCUCUGUAUAGAAGUAGCAGUUUUUCGCUUUUGAAGGUUGCAUUGUUGA